GGUGGAGUAAUUUGUCUGGUUUAUUCCGAUAACGAACGAGAUUCACUCCUGCUAACUAGAAUCCUCGUAGCUUAGCGAGGCAUUCUUCUUAGAGGUAUAAGCGGUGUUUAGCCGCAUGAGAUUGAGCAAUAACAGGUCUGUGAUGCCCUUAGAUGUCCGGGGCUGCACGCGCGCUACACUGGCAGAAUCAGCUGGCUUGUCCUGCCCCGAAAGGGGCGGGUAAACCCGUGAAAAUCUGCCGUGAUUGGGAUCGGAAAUUGCAAUUAUUUUCCGUGAACGAGGAAUUCCAAGUAAGUGCGUGUCAUCAACACGCGUUGAAUACGUCCCUGCCCUUUGUAC
rnacentral:rRNA from 1 species